GAGACAGGCAGCUGCAGCCCGUAAGAGGCCAGUUUGCAACUAGCUGCUGUUUGCUGCAUCUCUUGCUCUUACAGCUGCUUUGCUGGAACCGAGAGGAUCUGGAUGUGUUAUUUACCGUAUUGCUUCAAAGGAUUCUCAACAAGGUGCCUGAUCUCUACAACAGUAGCUGCAAAUCACACCAUAGUUAAUGGGCCUUAUCCCAGAAGGUGACUCCUGAAAGAUGCUCUGGGCCCUCGGCUCCCACUGGAAUCAGCAGGACUGCACCCUCCAGGCUUGGAGUAGGUGGUGCAUACAACUGUUCCCAGGCAAGGCUGGUGGACAGUGUGUUGAACAUGAUCCGCAGCUCAUUGAAGUUAAUAGGAAGACUCCCAUUAAUGUCCGUGGGUUUUGCAUCAGGUGCUGUCAGGAGCUCUCUUGAUAUAAACCAGGCUGCACUGUCAUGUACGGUCAGGCUUCAGGAUGUCUCUGCAGAGCAGGGGUGCAGCACUGGCUGAGGGAGCGUGAGCUUCCCCACAUUACACCAGCCCCGGGAGCCUCACUCCUCACUGUGGCCCUCCUCAAAGGACCAGAGCAGAGGGAAUCCAGCACCAGGCUCGAAGGAAGCAGCAUGCAAUGAUACCGGGAGCAGGUCCCCUCUGGGGCCUUGCCCACACCUAUCAAGGAGCCUACUAAGGUCCACAUCAUCUGGAUUUUCAGUUUUGUUUCAGGUCCACUUCUAGAUGAAAAAAGAAAUUGCCCCCUUCUCCCGCUGUCAACCCCAAUUCUAACCAUACAUCUCUAAGGUGCAAAAAUGUUCUGCUCACUUUUUCCUCAUUAUUAUUCCAGAGUCGUGCAUGUCCUCAUUCCUGAGUUCUGGCCCAGAACAAACACCUAAGUGCCAAAAUCUUCCAAGACAGUCUGUUCCCAACUUUGUUUAAUAGAUGCAAGAGGCUUGGAUAAUACACGUAAUCCCCCCUUGCAACAGAAUGCACCCCUG